AUGGACGCCAACUGGCGGCCCACCCAAGGGCCGGACCCCGCCGCCGCCGCCGCCGUAGGCGAUUGGCGCGCCCAGCUCCAGCCCGAGGCGCGCAGCAGGGUCGUCAAUAAGAUAUUGGAGACUCUGAGGAAGAUCCUGCCAGUAUCGGUGCCAGACGAACUGAUCGAACUUCAAGAAAUCGCCAGGCAAUUCGAAGACAAGAUCUACACUGAAGCAACCAAUCAGUCUGAUUAUGUGCGGAAGAUUUCUCUGAAAAUGGUCUCUAUGGAGACGAGCAGACAACUGGCUCCUGGAAAUGCUCAAGUGAUUCCAAAUCAAAACAACUCAGCUCCUGCACUCCCUCCACAAGGCGGAAAUCAAGCACAGACAUCAGCCAUUCCUUUGAUGUCUGAACAACAGUCCCAACAGAAUCAAUUGAAUCCCGUACAACAAUCUGUGCAAUCAUUACUCCAGCAACCUCAACAAACUGUUGGGAGGCAGCAGCGACAAGCACAUCCCUCCAUUCAUCAACAACCUUCACUGCAGAGUCAGCAGCUCAAUAUUCUUUUACAGCAGCAGCAGCAGCAGCAGCAGUUGAUGGGACACCAGCCAAAUUUACAACAGAAUGGUGCUGUGGAAAUGCAGGAGCAACAGAGGCUACCAGUUCAGUCAAAUAAUCUUUUGAAUGUGCAGCAAACACAGCAGAUGUUGAAUCAGCAGUAUAUGCCUCUGCAUCAGCCACAUCAAUUGGGCUCUCAGGCAUACAUGGUGAGUCUACAGCAUCAGCAACUUCUUGGAACUGUGCCUAAUGUGUCAAACAUGCAUCGGAUGCAUAUGCUACACACAGAAGCUCAGCAACCACAGGAACAACAGCAUGCUCAGCAGCCACCAAUGCAACCUCAGUCUCAACACAACCAACUCCAACAGUCGCAACAGCAUCUUAUGUCACAAUUCCAAUCUCAGCCUAACCAACUACAACAUCAAUCAGGGAUGCAGCCGCAAUCCUCCAUGCAACGACGACUUCAAGCUUCAGGAGGCAUGCUCUUGCAACAAAAUAACAUGGAUCCGAUUCAGGCACAGAGGGGCCUUCAAGAAGUUUCCUCUAGUACAUCUGCGGACUCUACUGCUCAAACAGGUGAUGAAGAUGAAGAUGCAGAUUAUUGGCAAGAGGAGAUAUAUCAAAUGGUCAAGAUCAUGAAGGACCAAUACUUUGCAGACCUCAGCGAACUGUUCAAUAAGGUAUGUGUGAAGCUACAGCAUGUCGAGAGCAUGAUACGACCUCCGAUUCCAUCCGAGCAGUAUGAUAGAAUGAAGAGCUUUAAAACGAUGCUGGAACGUAUAUUACAAAUGCUGCAGAUUAGUAAGAGUAUCAUCCAACCUGCUAUGAGGGACAGAGUUCCUCAAUACGAGAAACAGAUUAUCACCAUCUUGAAUUGUCUAAGGAAGCCAGUGCAGCCACAAGUACAGCAAUAG
rnacentral:rRNA from 1 species